rnacentral:lncRNA from 1 species
GUUUAUUGUGAUAAUUAACAUUGUAUGUCAUAGUAGAAAGUAUUUGGUUUAACGCUGUAAGUUGUUUGCAUUGGUUGUUGUUAUUAUUUUUCUCCCCAUAAACAGUGAGGUAUUGGAAACCUUCAGGGACUCCAAAAGUUCACAGGAUAGUAACUUGACUGCCUCAGAUCCAUACUGUUAAACAACAUGAAAAAGCAAGGGAACUAAUUGCUCCAGACAAACCCAGAUACUCCAAUAACAGAAUCCAUUGACCCCACAGGGGAAGAAAUGUCAGAGAAGGAGUUUAGAAUAUUCUUAGUUAAACUGAUCUUCAAAGUCAAGGAUGGUAUAAGGAAUGAAAUCAGAGAGAAAAUACAGGAAGUGAAAUAUCACUUCAAUAAAGAGAGAGACUCUGGAAAAAAAAAAGCAGAAAUCCUCAAAAUGAAGGAAUCAACAAACCAAAUUAAAAAUUCAAUUGAAAGCAUCACCAACAGACUACAACAGACUAGACCACUUGGACUUCAGAACCUCAGGCAAUGAAGACAAAAUAUAUAAUCUUGAAAACAGAGUUGACCAGAGAGAGGAGUUUUUAAGAAACCAUGACCAGAACUUCCAAGAACUAUGGGGGUAACAUGAAAAGAUUUAUUGGGAGAGAUGAAGGUGCAGAGACACAAACCAAAGGAAUGCACAAUCUUUUCAAUGAAACGAUAUCAGAAACUUCCCCAAAUCUAAAGAAUGAAAUGGAAAAUCAAAUACAAGAGGCUUACGGGACCCCAAAUAUACAAAAUUGCAACAGACCCACACCAAGUCACAUUAUAAUGAAAAUGCCUAACACGUAGAAUAAAGACAGAAUUCUAAAGGCUGUGAGAGAAAAAUAUCAGAU